rnacentral:rRNA from 1 species
GACGAACGCUGGCGGCGUGCCUAAUACACGCAAGUCGAACGCUUUUUCUUUCACCGGAGCUUGCUCCACCGAAAGAAAAAGAGUGGCGAACGGGUGAGUAACACGUGGGUAACCUGCCCAUCAGAAGGGGAUAACACUUGGAAACAGGUGCUAAUACCGUAUAACACUAUUUUCCGCAUGGAAGAAAGUUGAAAGGCGCCUUUGCGUCACUGAUGGAUGGACCGGCGGUGCAUUAGCUAGCUGGUGAGGUAACGGCUCACCAAGGCAACGAUGCAUAGCCGACCUGAGAGGGUGAUCGGCCACACUGGGACUGAGACACGGCCCAGACUCCUACGGGAGGCAGCAGUAGGGAAUCUUCGGCAAUGGACGAAAGUCUGACCGAGCAACGCCGCGUGAGUGAAGAAGGUUUUCGGAUCGUAAAACUCUGUUGUUAGAGAAGAACAAGGAUGAGAGUAAAAUGUUCAUCCCUUGACGGUAUCUAACCAGAAAGCCACGGCUAACUACGUGCCAGCCGCCGCUGUAA